ensembl:lncRNA
AACACCAUGGACACAGGUCUCUGUCCUCACGAACACCAUGGACACAGGUCUCUGUCCUCACGAACACCAUGGACACAGGUCUCUGUCCUCACGAACACCAUGGACACAGGUCUCUGUCCUCACGAACACCAUGGACACAGGUCUCUGUCCUCACGAACACCAUGGACACAGGUCUCUGUCCUCACGAACACCAUGGACACAGGUCUCUGUCCUCACGAACACCAUGGACACAGGUCUCUGAUUGGUCGCCUUGCCUUGCCUUUCCUCUUGCAUCUUCAGCAGGCAGCAAGUUCUCGGAGGACCUGGGGCGUAGACACACAAGAAGGCGUACACCACUCUCUAAGCAAACUUUGGGAUUUAUAAAAAGCAAGCUUGAUAGGGAGACUAUGCGGUCCUCCACAGACACUUUGAUCCAUGCGUACACACAUGAACUGAAGAAAGGAGAAACUGCGACUCCAAUGGCAGAGGCCUGAAGCUCGAGAAAUGCUUUGAAAUUCAUACCAUUCUGAAAAUAUUCGAAACAUGUCGAAAUAUUAGCUCUCCCAUAUAAUAUAUAAAGAGCAAACACAAACACACAAAAAAAACAUUAUUUAGUAUAAUAAAUGAG